rnacentral:rRNA from 1 species
GGGGAAUUUUGGACAAUGGGCGCAAGCCUGAUCCAGCCAUUCCGCGUGCAGGAUGAAGGCCUUCGGGUUGUAAACUGCUUUUGUACGGAACGAAACGGUUCUCUCUAAUACAGAGGGCUAAUGACGGUACCGUAAGAAUAAGCACCGGCUAACUACGUGCCAGCAGCCGCGGUAAUACGUAGGGUGCAAGCGUUAAUCGGAAUUACUGGGCGUAAAGUGUGCGCAGGCGGUUUUGUAAGACAGAGGUGAAAUCCCCGGGUUCAACCUGGGAACUGCCUUUGUGACUGCAAGGCUGGAGUACGGCAGAGGGGGAUGGAAUUCCGCGUGUAGCAGUGAAAUGCGUAGAUAUGCGGAGGAACACCGAUGGCGAAGGCAAUCCCCUGGGCCUGUACUGACGCUCAUGCACGAAAGCGUGGGGAGCAAAC